UACAGAGGUCCCAAGCGUUACUGAGAAUCACUGGGUUUAAAGGGUGCGUAGGUGGUCCGUUAAGUCAGUUGUGAAAUCCCCGGGCUCAACCCGGGAACUGCUACUGAUACUGGCGGACUUGAGGCCAGUAGGGGUCACUAGAACUGACGGUGGAGCGGUGAAAUGCGUAGAUAUCGUCAGGAAUGCCGGUGGUGAAGACGGGUGACUGGGCUGGUUCUGACACUGAGGCACGAAAGCGUGGGGAGCGAACGGG
rnacentral:rRNA from 1 species